UACGAAGGGAGCUAGCGUUGUUCGGAAUUACUGGGCGUAAAGCGUGCGCAGGCGGUUUUGUAAGUCUGUCGUGAAAUCCCCGGGCUCAACCUGGGAAUUGCGAUGGAGACUGCAAGGCUAGAAUCUGGCAGAAGGGGGUAGAAUUCCACGUGUAGCAGUGAAAUGCGUAGAGAUGUGGAGGAACACCGAUGGCGAAGGCAGCCCCCUGGGUCAAGAUUGACGCUCAUGCACGAAAGCGUGGGGAGCAAACAGG
rnacentral:rRNA from 1 species